rnacentral:piRNA from 1 species
AUAUACAUACACACACCUAUAU